rnacentral:rRNA from 1 species
GCUGGCGGCAGGCCUAACACAUGCAAGUCGAGCGGUAACAGAUCUAGCUUGCUANAUGCUGACGAGCGGCGGACGGGUGAGUAAUGCAUAGGAAUCUGCCCGGUAGUGGGGGAUAACCUGGGGAAACCCAGGCUAAUACCGCAUACGUCCUACGGGAGAAAGGGGGCUUCGGCUCCCGCUAUUGGAUGAGCCUAUGUCGGAUUAGCUAGUUGGUGAGGUAAAGGCUCACCAAGGCAACGAUCCGUAGCUGGUCUGAGAGGAUGAUCAGCCACAUCGGGACUGAGACACGGCCCGAACUCCUACGGGAGGCAGCAGUGGGGAAUAUUGGACAAUGGGGGCAACCCUGAUCCAGCCAUGCCGCGUGUGUGAAGAAGGCCCUCGGGUUGUAAAGCACUUUCAGCGAGGAAGAACGCCUAGCGGUUAAUACCCGUUAGGAAAGACAUCACUCGCAGAAGAAGCACCGGCUAACUCCGUGCCAGCAGCCGCGGUAAUACGGAGGGUGCAAGCGUUAAUCGGAAUUACUGGGCGUAAAGCGCGCGUAGGUGGCUUGAUAAGCCGGUUGUGAAAGCCCCGGGCUCAACCUGGGAACGGCAUCCGGAA